AAAUAAAUUACAAUUUUAUUAAAUUGUCUUACUUUACAUAAGAAAAUAAUUUCACUUUGUAAGAAAACAAAGAACCCAUAGAAUAAAGCAUAGGUUAGCAAAAGAACAAAAAGCAUCCUUGCAUGCAUUCCCCAUGCCCCCACAAAACUAGAAAUAAAGGCAGUGUUUUUAAGCCAGAAACCACCAAUAAUGAUUAUUGCUCCGCAGCUCA
rnacentral:misc_RNA from 1 species